rnacentral:rRNA from 1 species
ACCUUACCUACUCUUGACAUCCAGAGAACUUUCCAGAGAUGGAUUGGUGCCUUCGGGAACUCUGAGACAGGUGCUGCAUGGCUGUCGUCAGCUCGUGUUGUGAAAUGUUGGGUUAAGUCCCGCAACGAGCGCAACCCUUAUCCUUUGUUGCCAGCGGUCCGGCCGGGAACUCAAAGGAGACUGCCAGUGAUAAACUGGAGGAAGGUGGGGAUGACGUCAAGUCAUCAUGGCCCUUACGAGUAGGGCUACACACGUGCUACAAUGGCGCAUACAAAGAGAAGCGAACUCGCGAGAGCAAGCGGACCUCAUAAAGUGCGUCGUAGUCCGGAUUGGAGUCUGCAACUCGACUCCAUGAAGUCGGAAUCGCUAGUAAUCGUAGAUCAGAAUGCUACGGUGAAUACGUUCCCGGGUCUUGUACACACC